rnacentral:rRNA from 1 species
UACGUAGGGCGCGAGCGUUGUCCGGAUUUAUUGGGCGUAAAGAGCUCGUAGGCGGCUUGUCGCGUCGACUGUGAAAACCCGCGGCUCAACCGCGGGCCUGCAGCCGAUACGGGCAGGCUAGAGUUCGGUAGGGGAGAGUGGAAUUCCUGGUGUAGCGGUGAAAUGCGCAGAUAUCAGGAAGAACACCCGUGGCGAAGGCGGCUCUCUGGAACGCAACUGACGCUGAGACGCGAAGGCGUGGGGAGCAAACAGG